CUGACACCAGUUGUGAUCACGUAGCAGUUCAAUAACAGAAACACCACUGACACCAGGUUGUGAUCACGUAGCAGUUCAAUAACAGAAACACCACUGACACCAGUUGUGAUCACGUAGCAGUUCAAUAACAGAAACACCACUGACACCAGGUUGUGAUCACGUAGCAGUUCAAUAACAGAAACACCACUGACACCAGUUGUGAUCACGUAGCAGUUCAAUAACAGAAACACCACUGACACCAGUUGUGAUCACGUAGCAGUUCAAUAACAGAAACACCACUGACACCAGUUGUGAUCACGUAGCAGUUCAAUAACAGAAACACCACUGACACCAGGUUGUGAUCACGUAGCAGUUCAAUAACAGAAACACCACUGACACCAGUUGUGAUCACGUAGCAGUUCAAUAACAGAAACACCACUGACACCAGUUGUGAUCACGUAGCAGUUCAAUAACAGAAACACCACUGACACCAGGUUGUGAUCACGUAGCAGUUCAAUAACAGAAACACCACUGACACCAGUUGUGAUCACGUAGCAGUUCAAUAACAGAAACACCACUGACACCAGGUUGUGAUCA